UACGUAGGGCGCAAGCGUUGUCCGGAAUUAUUGGGCGUAAAGAGCUCGUAGGCGGUUUGUCGCGUCUGUCGUGAAAGCUUGGGGCUUAACCCUAAGUCUGCGGUGGAUACGGGCAGGCUAGAGGCAGGUAGGGGAGAACGGAAUUCCCGGUGUAGCGGUGAAAUGCGCAGAUAUCAGGAAGAACACCCGUGGCGAAGGCGGCUCUCUGGGACGGUACUGACGCUGAGACGCGAAAGCGUGGGGAGCGAACAGG
rnacentral:rRNA from 1 species